rnacentral:lncRNA from 1 species
ACCAUCACAACAACAUUAUAUCAUUUAGCCAAAUAACAGUUGCAGGUUCCACCCAGGAUCGCAGUCACAGCAGACAUAAAAUCAUUUCUUGUCGAGCAGGCUUCAAAUCCAAUCAGAAAGCAAUUGGUUAUCCCCCAUUCCCUUCAUGCCAUUAUUACAUUAUGUGCACAGCUUGCCUGACAGAUUGGUGUUAUAAUAUUUAGGGAUCACUGAAGGAUAUAAUCAGCUUUUUGUUUACAUAUGAAGAUCAUUGGGAACUUGUAAGAUUAUUCAGCAGGUAAAAGCACUUGCCUUGAAACCCUAAAGACACGACUUUGAUCCUUUGAACCUAUAGUGGAAAGAGAGAAUCAACCAACUCCUGAAAUGUUGUUUUCUGACCUCCAGGCCUGUGCCAGGCAUUCCUGCACUCAUGUACACAUACCAUACACACAUACAUCAUACAUGCAGGAUGAUGAUAAAGAAGAUUAAAGAAAAGGAAUCAUUAGGAUUUUGAUACAAAUUACCUUGAAACUAUAGAUUGAAGAUAUCACUAUCUAUAUAAUAAUGUUUCCAGUCUAUGACUACAGAACAUUUUUCCAUUUAAGUUUUUAGAAUGUAGUCCCUUUUAUUAGGCAGACUCUCACUAAAUAGCUUAGCCUGGUCUGGAGCUCUACAUAGCCCAGCUGAUCUUAACUUGUGUUCUGAUUUCUCAGUGCCCUGAAAGAUAGAUCUAUAGGCAUGCACUUCUAGUCACUUUUUGCAAUUAAAAAUUACAUUUCAGAUCAUUUAUUACUAGUAUAUAGAAAUAUAACUGAUAAUUAUGAGUUGAGUGUAUAACCUGUAAUUUUGUUGAAUUAAUUUACUGACUUUGAUAGUUUUCUUGUGGGUUCUCUAAGAAUUGGUAUUAUGUAGGACCAUGUCAUAUCAUCUGUAAAUGAAAGUGCUUUUUCUCCUUUCUUCUCCCAUCUACUUUAGAAACAAAGUCUCAUGAUGUAGCCUAGACUGCCCCAGAGCUUCUGAUCCUCCUGCUCCACCGUCUGAGGGCUGGGAUUGUAGGGAUGUGCCAUUACAUGGUGCUAUGGAUUGAACCCAGCCCUUCCUGAAUGCUAAGCUAAGCAAGUACUGUACCAACUGAGCCACAUCCCAGCUCCUUCUUCCUUCUGUUUCCUUGUGUGUGUGUGUGUGUGUGUGUGUGUGUGUGUGUGUGUGCACGCGCACGCACACAAACAUGCAAACAUGCUUGUGUUUUUUUCAUACACCUCAGAGGCCAGAAGAGGGCAUCAAAUCCCUUGGAGCUAGAGUUGAAGGUGUUUGUGAGCCAGCUGAUAUGAGUCCUGGGAAUCAAUCUGUGCUGAGCCAUCUCUCCAGUCCUGCCUCUUUCUGUUAUUACUUGCCUACAUUUUUUUCUUAUCUACUUUCCCUGGCUAGAAUGUCCAGUACAGUGGUGAAGAACAGUGGUGAAAAACGAGUCAUUGUCUUGCUCCUCACUUUCCUGUGAACAGUUUUUAGUUGUUUUUUUUAACUACUUAAUGUGUUAGAUGUGAGUUUUCAUGUAUGCCGUAUCAUGUUAAUGAAGUUCCUUUCUAUGCCCAAAUGUAUGGGCAGGUUUUAUUAUGAAAGGGUAUCACAUAUCAAUUGCUCAAUUGCCUUUUGUUUUUACAUCAAUGGACAUGAUCCAUUAAGUGGAGGUUUAUUACUGUUGAUGUAGUUCAUAGUCUCUCCUAGUUCAUUUCCUGAUGCAAGAACAGAAUGGCACAGAUUGGGUACAUUUUUAACAAUAGAAUUUAUAUGUCUUGUGGUUCUGAAGGUUAGAAAUUCAAAUGAAGGAAAAAAAUGGAAUUGGCCAUAACUUUCUUGCUUCAUGAUAACAUGGAGGAAGGACAAGUGGCCCUGAACCUAGGCUAGUCUCCCAACUCUUCCCCAAGCCCCCUAACUACAAGAAUUACAAACAUGUGUGUCCUUCCAUGUCUGGCUUAAGGUUCAACUUCUUUUUAAAUUUAAUAUAUUUUAAUUUUGUGUAUGUAUGGAUGUAUAUGGAUGUGUAUAUGUGAGUAAAGCCACCCAAAGAGGCCAGAAGAGGGAAGCCAUCAUCCUAGAUUCAUCCGUUGUCACUGUAGACCUUCAGUUAGAUUUCAACCUCUGAAAUUAAGUUCAUGGAGACUUAUUUUAGAAGACUAUUGGGGUUGAGGGUUUUUGUUGUUGUUGUUGUUGUUGUUGUUGUUGUUUGAUAUAGUGCCCUAUAUAUGUUAAGUCUGACUUUUUAAGAACCUAUUUCUAUUUUUAGCUAUAUAUAUAUUUGUAUGCAAGAAUAUAUACUUCUAUAUUUAUAUUUAGGAUAUCUUUGCUGAGCUCAUUUAUAGAUAUUUUAUUCACUUUUGGGUAUGGUAUUUGCAGAGAAUAUCCUGUGGGAGUUGGUUCUCUUUGUCAAUCAUAUUGAGUCCUGAGGCUUGAACUCAGGUUGUCAACCUAACUGCUAAGCCAUUUCACUGUCUUUCCCUGUCUUACACUGUAACCCCAUUCUCUCUAUACUUUCUUCCUUUUCUCUUGGGAAAAUAUACAUAUUUUUUCCAAUGGAAGGACAAAAAGUAUUUUACCAACUCCGCCCUGAUAUACUUUUUGAGCUACUCCCUAACUGUGUAUCCCAACAGUAAAGUUGUCCUUGUGAUUUCUUUCUUAUCUUUUAGUCUUGCCACGGUUUUAAAUCAGGCUUCUGUUCUACAUGAAAUUCAUGUUACAACAUUUUUCAGGGCCAUAGAAAAUUCUGCAAUCUUCGUGUGAUAAAUUAGGACCUCGGAGCCUUUUGUUUAGUGGGGUUUUAUUUCAAUGAGAUAACAUAGUUGAAGGAACUUCAUGUUCUCCAAAGCAUCUUACACGAGAACUUGCUAAAGAUUACUGAACCUGUGACCAAAUC